AUACCUUUCUCGGCCUUUUGGCUAAGAUCAAGUGUAGUGUCUGUUCUUAUCAGUUUAAUAUCUGAUACGUGGGUCGAUAUGAUAUUAAAUUAAUUUUUUUAGGGGGAAGUCCCAUCACGGUAGCUUGCUGCCAGGGUCUUCAAGCGUCGCCCAUGCGUUGCACUACUACACGGGCCUGGCGCACCCCAC